UACGAAGGGGACUAGCGUUGUUCGGAAUCACUGGGCGUAAAGCGCACGUAGGCGGAUGUGUCAGUCAGGGGUGAAAUCCCGGGGCUCAACCUCGGAACUGCCUUUGAUACAGCACGUCUCGAGUCCGGAAGAGGUGGGUGGAAUUCCUAGUGUAGAGGUGAAAUUCGUAGAUAUUAGGAAGAACACCGGUGGCGAAGGCGGCCCACUGGUCCGGUACUGACGCUGAGGUGCGAAAGCGUGGGGAGCAAACAGGAUUAGAUACCC
rnacentral:rRNA from 1 species